CCUAUGUAGCGGCCAUCAAAGUGGAGGCCCUCUCUUUGAGCCUGAACGAGAAAGUGCUUCCACUUUGUGUGCCAGUGCAUGGG
rnacentral:miRNA from 1 species